AGAGAGAGAAAAAGGUUUCCGUCUGCCAACCCCCCAAACUCAUAUAUUGUAAUCUGAAUGUAAAUUGAUGUAACGCAUCUAUGAACUAAGUUUCAACAACGGAUCUCUUGGCUCUCGCAUCGAUGAAGAACGCAGCGAAAUGCGAUAAGUAAUGUGAAUUGCAGAAUUCAGUGAAUCAUCGAAUCUUUGAACGCACCUUGCGCUCCUUGGUAUUCCUUGGAGCAUGCCUGUUUGAGUAUCAUGAAAUUAUCAAAACAAGUCUUUUGUUCAUUCAACUGGCUCUUUGUUUUGGACUUGGAGGUCUUGCAGAUUCACGUCUGCUCCUCUUGAAUGCAUUAGCUGGAUCUCAGUGAGCUCGGUUCCACUCGGCGUGAUAAGUAUCACUCGCUGAGGACACCCUCUAAAAAAAGGUGGCCGGGAUUGCAGAUGAACCGCUUCCAAUAGUCUGUUAGCUCAGACAGCUUUACUUUAUGAUCUGAUCUCAAAUCAGGUAGGACUACCCGCUGAACUU
rnacentral:rRNA from 1 species